UACGUAGGGGGCAAGCGUUGUCCGGAUUUAUUGGGCGUAAAGAGCGUGUAGGCGGCCAUACAGGUCAGCUGUGAAAACUCGAGGCUCAACCUCGAGACGUCGGUUGAAACCGUAUGGCUAGAGUCCGGAAGAGGAGAGUGGAAUUCCCGGUGUAGCGGUGAAAUUCGUAGAUAUUCGGAAGAACACCAGUGGCGAAGGCGGGUCUCUGGGCCGAUACUGACGCUGAGGAGCGAAAGCAUGGGUAGCGAACAGG
rnacentral:rRNA from 1 species